rnacentral:rRNA from 1 species
GACGAACGCUGGCGGCGUGCUUAACACAUGCAAGUCGAGCGAUGAAGUUCCUUCGGGAAUGGAUUAGCGGCGGACGGGUGAGUAACACGUGGGUAACCUGCCUCAUAGAGGGGAAUAGCCUUCCGAAAGGAAGAUUAAUACCGCAUAAGAUUGUAGUUUCGCAUGAAACAGCAAUUAAAGGAGUAAUCCGCUAUGAGAUGGACCCGCGUCGCAUUAGCUAGUUGGUGAGGUAACGGCUCACCAAGGCGACGAUGCGUAGCCGACCUGAGAGGGUGAUCGGCCACAUUGGGACUGAGACACGGCCCAGACUCCUACGGGAGGCAGCAGUGGGGAAUAUUGCACAAUGGGGGAAACCCUGAUGCAGCAACGCCGCGUGAGUGAUGACGGUCUUCGGAUUGUAAAACUCUGUCUUCAGGGACGAUAAUGACGGUACCUGAGGAGGAAGCCACGGCUAACUACGUGCCAGCAGCCGCAGUAAUAC